UUCGUUUUGAUAAGUACUGGACCAGUAACAAAGACAUUCAAUGUUAUCUAGAGAUCUUCCUCCUCUUGGGUUUUGGAGGCUUCACUUGUCUGUCUCCCUGUGGGAUUUGGUGGACAUUCCCAGACAUUUUGUCUAGCUCACUCAUGGCCUCGUGUAUAGCAGCUUCUAAAUGGUUAUUUAGCUUUCCACUUUUUCUGUUCCUUUUCCUGGCUCGGUUGUAAGCUUCUAGACCUUCUGUUAGUGUCUUCAACUUCUCUGGCUCCACCUGAGUGAAGGUAUGAACACCAAAC
rnacentral:lncRNA from 1 species